UCUCUCAAAAAUACUUCAUUUUUGGAUAUUGGGAGUCAUUGCUGGCGGCUGUUGAACCUCAGCUCUCCUUAAAUUCUUUGAGGACGAAAAAUGUUGGUGUGUGAUAAUAAUGGUCUAUGCCAAACAAGUAGUCCCCCCACCCUCUUUUAAUGA
rnacentral:misc_RNA from 1 species